CGUCCACCCACUUGGUUGGGGGAGCCGAGCUCUUUCGGCAGGACGUACUCGGGACUGGCAAGAGCCAGGGUGUGGGGCUCCCACAGCCUUCUUGAACUCUACGUGCAGUUAGACGGUGGAAGGAACAAAAGAUACUCCUCGUCUGUAAAAUGCCAUGAAAGCACCACGGCUGACGUAAGAAUCAGCUGUAUCCCGGCUUGGAAGAGUGGGUGCAAGGUAGGUGUGACAAAGAAGAGGAGCUUGAAACUGCCUCCUGUUCCAGCCUAAUCGGACAGCUGACAACUAUUUGCACUUGUCACCAAGACGCUCCGUGGCUACUACAUUCAGAGAAAAGAAUAAAUCCCGAGUUCACAGGCCUGCUGGGGAAGAGCGUCCUCUGAGCAGGCCGCCCUGCUUCCUUCACCAGAUAUUUACUGGCAUCACCAACUCUCUUCGUGAGAGGAUGGACAUUGUCGUCUACGUCAGGGAAGUCUUUGUGCAGAAGGCUGAAGGGACAAUUUCCAAGGACAAACACUUGCUGGGAGAACCAACUUCCCAAACUUCCUUCAUCUGUUAGUCGCUUGGUACCCAGUUGAUGCGUCUGUGAGACCGUUUUCAGCUGAAAACAGCACAGCAUUGGGAAAGGGAAAUAAAUCUUUCCCAAAUUCUCGUGUUACGCUGGUUAAGGGGGAGAAACCUGCCAAAAAGUUUCCUAAUGUUUAAAGGCUCCUGUCCAGUUUAAGGUGUUUGUUUUCAUCCGGAUAGGUUGGCGGCUGCUUUCUUUCUCUCUUGCUCAACUCUUCCUCCUGCAUUCCAUCAGAGUUCUUGUUUCCCAUCCAAAGGGCUUCACUCCUUUUCCAACAAUUCCUGUUUUCUAGUCCUCCAUC
rnacentral:lncRNA from 1 species